CUUUGAGUCAUUUUUUAUUCAACAUAUAAAACAGGAUGCUUAUUUACCUUGAUGUAAAAUACACAGCUGAUGCACAAGAUAAGAUAAAAUUAUAUAAAAAUACCAAAACUCAGACCUCAAAUCAGUGUACAGGAUAUGCCAUACAUAGGACAUUCAAAAUGCUCUUUUACCCUCUCAGCUCUUUCUAAUUAUAUCAGUUUAAGUGGCUUUACUUGACAACUAUUUUUGCUUAAAAAUGGGCUUAAAUUAGGCACAUAAUAAAUUAGUAGCAUUAAUAAAGAUUGUGCUUCUUUGUUCCUGAAAUUUUUCUUCUAAUAAGUUUAUCCAACGAAAGUCUUACGGAAAUGCACAUACUUUUAAAUUAUUCAUUUUAAUGAGUUUAAUCUACAGUAAAUUAUUUUUAAAGAGUAAUGCAAUAUACUUUAUGUUAGACCAUGCAGAAAAGUUUUAUUGGAAGUAUGUUUAUAUGAUAGUUAUUUCAGGGCAGUAGUUACAUAUUACAUGCACUAUUUUUAAAUAAAUUGGAUUCAAUUGUUUAUACUGUCCAUUAACAAUUUUACAGACUCACAGUAGCGACACACAGUAUACUGUUCAUAGGGCUGAUGUUUGCCAGCAGGAAUGCAGAGCCUCUGUUGCAUCCUGAGUUAGGGUAGUAGGGGUGUGAAAAACUAGUUUAACAGGAUCUCUUACAUGAAAUAGCUCCAGAAUGAAGAAGCUCUAAAGGGUUACUGCUUUAAAUGACUGCUUUUACUUGGGCUCAAAGUGAGUUAAACUUCAGAUAUUAGCCCUGGUUAAUGUCAGGUAAUGUACUUUUGGUUUUAUUCAACCAACAAAGCACAUGUGUUGGUAUUGUGGGUGACCUACAUGUGGUCUCAGGGAGCUUAUGGAAGUUUGAGGAGUGAGGACACAGAUAUAAAUUAUAAAAUGCUUGUAUGUGCACUCCCAUUCCCAUUCCCAUUUAUUUUGUCUCUCAAGGUGAAAAAUGUUACAGAAACAUGACAGAAAGAUUAUCACCUGGCACUGGUGGCUUCCUCCUGUUUGGCUGCUAUGUGGAAGAAAGGAAAAAUUAUGUUCCUUCACCUCUUCCCAUUUAAUCUCUCUUGACCUCUUUUUUUUUUCCUAAGGCUUUUUUUUUUUAAUUUCAGCUAAGGAAUGAUGCAUGUUACAGAUUAAUCUUUACUUUUCCCCACUUGGUUUUUUUAAAGAAUAUCACCAUUUCAACCCCCAGUGACCAUCGUACUUGUUUGCUUCAUCCUCUUCUAAUUUAUUACAGAUUUUCAAGUGUUUUCUUCAGUAAUGAUGCUUUCUCCUGCAGCUCAGGUCUGCUGUCUGUUUCCAUAGUGGCUAAAGACUCAAUCAGGAGUACUCUGCAUUCAGAUGUCAAACUCUCCCACUGUUUAGAUUCUUCGUCUUUUAAGUAGUAAUUCUAUCACAGAUAAAGCUUCCUAUCAUUCUUGACCUCUUAAUAACCAGUGGUGGGAACAGGUAAGGACAACAAGGAAUUAUUCAAGAGCUCAACUGACAUUCAUGCUGUUGUCAUUUGGAAGAUUUAUUUAAGAAAUUUUGUCUCUAGUGUACAUGCAUAAAUCAAAUUGAAAUAAAAGAACAGAUAUUAAGAUUCAGUCUGUGGCAGCACAGCUCAGAAAAUUCUACACUUACUGUUUUUUAAAAAUAAGAAUGUUAUUUGAAAUAAGGAAAAAAAAAUGUAAUCACAGCUUUGAAUGUCAUUCAUUGGCUCCUGGUUCAGUGCUCCAGUUUCUAAGGGGUGACAGAUAAUGAAAGAAUUUCUGAGUCUCUGUUUGCCAACAAAAAUAGCAGGCCAUAGACCGAGGCCCUACAAGAGACACAGGCAUGGAAUGACCUUACUGAGGAAGCCCCAAAUCAAAACAAAGCAUCCCCAUGAUGUGUUGAAAAGAGAAAAUACCAACUGGAAAGCAGAAGGCCGAGUGCUCCUGCAAAGAAGCUCUGGCUCCUGCUGCCCAGUCCUCUUAGCAUUGAAAUUCUCCUGAAUGUGGCAAGAGGGAAAUGUAAGGAAGCCUGGGUAAAGUUUUAAAUUCAUAAAGCACAGGGAAAGAUUUUUAUAUAAAGCAACAAAAACAAAAUGAGCUGCUUUCAAGUCAGGGAGUCAGAGAGAAGCUACUCUUCGUUCCAGGAGAACAGUGGAAGAUUCAGGAGUUCAACUCGGGGGCUUUAUAAUUUUUCAUCAGUUAGGAACUGGACAUCUUGGGUGCCAGAUGGUGCACUGGACAAUCAGGCUGGGACUAGGAGCCAAUCUGCGCAACUUUACAUUUUCCACAAGGCUGAUACUUUGAAUUUCUAAAUUCAAGACUGAUAGUGAAAAGGCUGUUACUUUGAAUUUCCAAAUUUAAGGUAAAUUUUAAUGUGAGAAUAAAAGACCGUGAUGUGUUCACUGGAUUAUAAUGUUACGGUUUAACACCAUUCUUAUUGUUCUACAUAGUAGCAUUUUACAACAGUACUUUCAUUUGGGAAACAGCAGCAUGUAGCAGUGUCCCCUCUUUUUUUUUUUUUUUGGUGCUGAAGAUCAAACCCAGGGUUUUGCAUAUGCUACACAUGAGCAAUUACCCUGACCAACCACUCAUGGAGCAGUGAUCCUGGCCCCAUCCAUAGUAUUUUGGAAUGUGCUUUGGGCUUCCUUUCACUGCAGUGUUAACACAGUUAAGGUCCAGUGGUGGCUUCAGGAUUUCUGUGUGGAAGGAGUUUUGGAACAGCUGUCUCAUUGGAAAGAGGACUCACCUUGAAGUUGUGUUUGCAUAUAACACUCUGCUGUUUGCAAUUCAAUGGUACAUCUUGAUUACAAAAUAUGAUAUUAAUUUGAGGUUAAGGCCCAUCUUUUCAGUUUUUUAAAAUAUUUCCACAGUGAGGAUGGGAAUUGUAGGGUGUUGGCAUCAUUGCUGAUGGUGUCCCAUAUAGUUUGUAAAUCUCUUAGAGUGUUGCAUAUCUGAAGUACAUUUCACUUUGUUCCUGCAACAUUAUACCACGGCAACUCUGAGCUUGGAAAUCCUAUAUAAAUAAUCAACUCACUGAAGUGGCAUUUGCAGAAAACAAAGCACAUGCUUUAAUAACAGAUGUUUCCUUCAGUGUUUUUCCUGAAAAUCUUUAUUUGGGUAGAAGACUGAAGGGAGGUGAGUGAGGUGCUUAAGAAGUUUUAGAAAUCAAAUGAAGAAUGCAUAGGAUUUUUAGCCAUUUACUUGCCAGAAGCCACUUUAUUUGGACAAUGAUGUCAUGUGCAGGUAGCACAUGAGACAGGAUCUGGGCUCCAGUCUUCUCUAGAUUGCCCAGUGUUGUGUGAACAAGACAGGCAGUUCACACAGAGUUGAUGGCAUGUUCAACCAGGAUAUUGCCCAUGGAAAACUGCACUAUCUGGAAGUGGAUGAGCUGCUGCUCACAGCGUACAAAAGAUGGCCCUACAGAGCCAGGGCUUUUCACAAUCUCUUCUCCAACUCAGUGUUACUUCAUCACCAACCAAUAUUUUUCUUUUAGUGCAAAUAUUUCUGUUUUCUAAUCGAGCUUAGAUCUUGGUUUCAUAAAAGGAAAAGAGGGUAUUUAUAUAUGUAAAUAUAUGAAUGUGAAUGUACAUACACAUUUACAGAUAAAAUUAUUAUAAUUAUCUAAGCAUCAAAUUUUGGAAAAAAUAUCUCUUCCCAGAGCCUAUUCUCAAGUAAGUGUUUGCAACACAGAAAAUAUUCAGGAAUUAAGUUGCCAAUGAGUCUACUGCUCAGAGGAAAAUAUUUUAAAUAAUUUGAUCAUUGAAGUUUAAAUUUUAUCAUAGAAGUUAAAAUAUUUAUAAAGGAUGACCUUUAAUAAUAUUGCUUGCAGGGCUGUGGAUUCCUUGAGAGAGUGAAACAGCCUUUUUGUGGCUGCUGAGUAGAUCAGAUUUACACUGUGGGUUGCAUUUCACUGCAUUUUGUUGCUUUCAAUUCCUUCCUUUCCUCUUAUGCAAGUUCAUGUCACUUUAUCAAUAUUAAAGAGAUAUUAUAAUUUUAAGAAAUUGACAUUGAAGAAUGGGAAACUAGGUAACAUUAUGUCAACUGGUAUAAUAUAAUUAGCAUUUUAGCAUAAUUUUAAAUAUGAUUACAUUGUGUGUAUUUGAACAUGUAAAUAGACAUCUAUCUAUCCAUCCAUCCAUUACGUGAUCUAUUUUAGGGGUGUGCUAAAGCCAGCUUAUACUGGUUCAGAAGAACUGAUUGACACAUUUCGAGAAAUUUUAAAAGCUGGUUAGGCUCAUUAUGUUGGUAGCCUGAAAAAUGCCUAUGGAGAGAGUAUUUAAAUCAUGAAAAUUGGUAAAUGAUAAAAUCAAGGAUUUUUUUUUCUUGUUGGAGAGCAAGGUGUUAAAUAAUUUACCAAUAUGCCAUUGUAAGUUUGGUCAGGAAAGGGACUGUAAUGUUCCUGAUAGAAGCCAGUAGUCAUUAUAAAAAACUAUCAAAGGUAAAGAAAAACAGUCUUUGGCAAUUUAAUUUAGCCUAUAAUUUCACAAAUAGUGUUAAAUACU
rnacentral:lncRNA from 1 species